rnacentral:rRNA from 1 species
ACACCUGUUCCCAUGCCGAACACAGAAGUUAAGCUCCUUAGCGCCGAUGGUAGUCGGACUAACGUUCCGCUAGAGUAGGACGUUGCCAGGC